UCGCGAUGAUUACAACUUAGGACACCUUUGGAUACCCCAUGAAAACAACCAAAUAGCUGAGCGCC